rnacentral:sRNA from 1 species
AUAUCUCUCUGUACGGGAAGGAUGAGAAGCUUCGACUAAGGUUCGAUUCGAGCGCAGCGAGAAAGCGUUGCCGUAGGCAACGACCCGAAGCGCGCAGCGCUGAGUAAUCCUUCCCCCACCACCA